UAUAUAGCAUCACCUACAAACCCUUUUCCUAAUCGGUUGAGGUAAUAAUUUACUUAGGGUAAAAGUUUAAUUCCAAAAUUAAACUUUGUACAAUUUUCUAUAAAACUUUGAAUCUUAUUCGGAUGGAAUUUUUCAAAAAUUAAUGUUGGAAUUAUUUUCUUGUAUUGACAAGAAAAUACUAAUAGCCAAAAUUAAUGACAAAAUAAGUAACGUGAAUUUCCAACUUUGAAAAGUGC
rnacentral:lncRNA from 1 species